rnacentral:lncRNA from 1 species
AUUUGUACAAGCUAACUUCCAUGGAAGCUGCCUCCAAUAAUAAUCCUGCCUCCUGACAGAUGUGCCUGGGAGGGAAAACACAAAUCUUUGCAUUUCAGAAGUGCCCAUUCACAGCACUAGCCCUAAAGGCUGCUAAUUCCCUUAAACUCUUCAUGUCUUGCACAAAGGAGCACCAAUUAUUGGCCAAAUUCUGUUCUCAACCUCAACCAUCCAAGAAACAAAGAGGGAGAUGUUGAACCCCACAAAAUCAAUGGCAAAAUUCCCACUGGUAUCAGUAAAUGAAGGAUUUUACUGAAAUUUGCAUAUACUUUUAUUCUUGUAUGGGUAAGAGUUUCUGUUUGUGGAUUUGAAAGUGUUUCAGAGCAAUGACCGUGUUUCCUACUGCUUUUGAGAUGCAGGUGAUGCCAGCAGCUAAUGGCAAGAGAAGGUAGGAUCCAGCCUGCUCACCUGAUGCGCUGUAAGAAGAGAGUACAUUGGCAGGAGGAGCUGCACUUGACCUCAAGUCAUCAACACCAGAGUGUAUGGCUGCUUGAUGGGUGAUUCAGUUUGGGAAAACAGAAAUAGAAGAGAAAAACUGCAAGAUAGACCAUGCCUCACUGUCUGGUUUGCUCUGAAGAGAAAGCAACACAGAGAUGCCACCCAGCCAAGUCAACCUACAGAUGCGAGCAGGUAAAGUGACCCACAUUCUCCUCUCUGACACAUCACGCGCUGCAUUGCCCAUGCACAAAGCGUGCAAUCAAUUUUUCCCCCACUGCAUGCCAACAAAAACACGGAGGCAACCUGAAUUGCACAGACUGGAGAAGAAGCAGCCUCCCCUCCUCCUGGACCAGCAAGCAGAUGGCAGAAAAGCAGCACCAUUUUGCAGCUCGAGG